UAAUUGAGGACAGUUCCUCUCCCUCUAGCACACAGAGGUCAAACUGGGUGCAACUCCCCCCCCUUCCGUGGGUAACGGAAACC
rfam:Physalis mottle tymovirus OP, RP, CP genes